UCGCCGCCCCUGUGGCCGUCGCCGCCAGCUCCUAGCUCCGCCAUGGUGCUCCGAUGACGCGCCCGGAGAGCCGCUCCGCCCUCUUCCCCGGCCGUGCUCCCGCCGGCCCCCCGCCUCCAGGGCCCGCGGCCCAGACAGGCUACAAGAAGCAAUUAUCUGUCCUUGAAAUCGGGAUGUAAAAAAAGAUGCAGCCAUGUUGUUCCAAGUAUCAAACGAGAAAAUAAGAUUCUCCCCCCCUGCGAAGACCAGUUCUGUUAGACUCUCCACGGAAGGCUGGACACAAACAGAGCCACAGUCAAGUCUGCGUGUCUCGAAAGUCGGUGAUGGCCUUCCACAGCGCGCAGAGCAUCCCUCCCC